rnacentral:rRNA from 1 species
GAGUUUUAACUGAGCGUUCAGUUACUUGACGUAGACCCGAAACCGGGCGACCUACCCAUGAGCAGGAUGAAGCGAAAGUAAAAUUUCGUGGAGGUCCGAACCCACGAGCGUUGAAAAGCUCGGGGAUGACUUGUGGGUAGCGGUGAAAUUCCAAUCGAGCCCGGAGAUAGCUGGUUCUCCCCGAAAUAGCUUUAGGGCUAGCCUCAAGGUGAGAGAUACGGAGGUAGAGCACUGAAUGUCCUAGGGGGUAUUGCACCUACCGAAGACUAUCAAACUCCGAAUGCCGUCAUCUUAUACUUGGGAGUCAGACUGUGGGUGAUAAGAUUCAUAGUCGAAAGGGCAACAGCCCAGAUCGUCAGCUAAGGUCCCUAAAUGUAAGUUAAGUGGUAAAGGAUGUGGGAUUGCACAGACAACCAGGAUGUUGGCUUAGAAGCAGCCACUCAUUCAAAGAGUGCGUAAUAGCUCACUGGUCGAGUGAUCCUGCGCCGAAGAUUUCCGGGGCUAAAACUUACUACCGAAGCUACGGCAUCAGUAAUGAUGGGUAGGGGAGCUUCCCAUACGGGUUGAAGCAUGACCGUAAGGACAUGUGGACAGUAUGGGAGUGAGAAUGUUGGCAUGAGUAGCGAGAUGUGGGUGAGAAUCCCACAGGCCGUAAACCCAAGGUUUCCAGGGGAAGGUUCGUCCGCCCUGGGUUAGUCGGGACCUAAGCUGAGGCCGAAAGGCGUAGGUGAUGGACAACAGGUUGAUAUUCCUGUACUACCGAUAACCGUUUGAGAGAAGGGAUGACACAGUAGGAUAAGCUAAGCACACUGUUGGUUAUGUGUGCCCAAGCAUUGAGGCAGUCAAAGUAGGCAAAUCCGCUUUGAUAAUGCUGGGAUGUGAUGGGGAGCGAAAUUUAGUAGCGAAGUAGCUGAUUUCACACUGUCAAGAAAAGUCUCUAUCGAGGUUAAAGGUACCCGUACCGCAAACCGACACAGGUGGGUGAGGAGAGUAUCCUAAGGCCAGCGAGAGAACUGUUGUUAAGGAACUCGGCAAAAUGACCCCGUAACUUAGGGAUAAGGGGUGCCACCAUCAGGUGGCCGCAGAGAAUAGGCCCAAGCGACUGUUUACCAAAAACAUAGGUUUCUGCUAAGUCGCAAGACGAUGUAUAGGAGCUGACGCCUGCCCGGUGCUGGAAGGUUAAGGGGAUCUGUUAGAGCAAUCGAAGCAGUGAACUUAAGCCCCAGUAAACGGCGGCCGUAACUAUAACGGUCCUAAGGUAGCGAAAUUCCUUGUCGGGUAAGUUCCGACCCGCACGAAAGGCGUAACGAUUUGGGCACUGUCUCAACAACAGACUCGGUGAAAUUGUAAUUCCGGUGAAGAUGCCGGAUACCUGCGACAGGACGGAAAGACCCCAUGGAGCUUUACUGUAGCUUGACAUUGGGUCUUGGUACUACAUGUACAGGAUAGGUGGGAGGCUUUGAAACCAGGACGCCAGUUUUGGCGGAGCCAUCCUUGGGAUACCACCCUUGUAGUACUGGGACUCUAACCAUAGGCCAUGAAUCUGGUCUUGGGACACUGUCAGGUGGGCAGUUUGACUGGGGCGGUCGCCUCCCAAAAGGUAACGGAGGCGCUCAAAGGUUCUCUCAGUACGGUCGGAAAUCGUACGUAGAGUGUAAAGGCAAAAGAGAGCUUGAUUGCAAGACAUACAGGUCGAGCAAGGAUGAAAAUCGGACUUAGUGAUCCGGUGGUUCUGCGUGGAAGGGCCAUCGCUCAACGGAUAAAAGCUACCCUGGGGAUAACAGGCUUAUCUCCCCCAAGAGUCCACAUCGACGGGGAGGUUUGGCACCUCGAUGUCGGCUCAUCACAUCCUGGGGCUGUAGUAGGUCCCAAGGGUUGGGCUGUUCGCCCAUUAAAGUGGUACGCGAGCUGGGUUCAGAACGUCGUGAGACAGUUCGGUCCCUAUCCGUCGCAGGCGUAGGAAAUUUGAGAAGACCUGUCCUUAGUACGAGAGGACCGGGAUGGACGUACCUCUGGUGUACCAGUUGUCCUGCCAAGGGCAUGGCUGGG